UUCAAGGCUCUUCCAAGAAGAUUGUUCUGGUUUACUCUGCGGUUGCACCUCCUUUCCCCUCCAUCUCCCCAUCCCACUCUGCUCCCUCCUAACACCCACGUGCACAGCAGAGCAAUCUUCCACUCCCUGCUGUGACUUUCUGGGGAAGAUGCUGUCAUGUGAAAUCCUGGAAGAGAGUUACCACAUGGAGCUCUCUGAAAGCAUUGCGUGUCCCUUGCAGAACAGGCCUGCAGACAGAGGAACGCUGCGCUCCCCUCCUCGAAAUCCUGAAUGCGCUUAUGGAUGGAGGUGGGGGGAGUGGGGAAUCAUCUUGUAAGCUUGGGAGCUGCCCACACACAUGGCAAGUCUUGUCAGCAGCUGAUAAAAGAGGUGGGAGGUGGGGAGAUUUUGAGGGGGAAGAACUUGGAGGCUCGCGUGCCCACACAGCUCACCAUCCUGUCUUCUCCAGGGCUCAGCCAUGGGCUUGGCCCCGUUGCUGACACACGUGCAUUGAAAGGAGACCCCGAACAGGGACGUGGAGAUCACUACCGUCUACUUCAGCAAUGACGUAAAGGUCUGCAGAUCCCCAGGAUCCACAUCCAGAGAGCUCCCGGCAAUAAUUGUGCACCUGGCUGCCUUCCCCAGAACUAUUGCUUUCUGCACAGGCAGGGGCUGCGCCCAUGUGUACCCUGAAUUGUACGAGCUCUCUACAGACGAGGGAUUUGUGUUACUCGCCCACAGCAGGCAAUCUUUG